AAAAAAUGUGUCGAUGGUCAUGUUUAGUAAUAUAGGAGGUGCAUGUUGACUCGAGUGUCGCCGACGUUCCAAGUCUGAGUGUAAAUCAGCGCGACCUCGGUAUGUGACAGAUUGCGGUGCUACAGUGGUUUGUCGACAGUUCACUUGACGCGUCACACAGCGCUUGAGAUGUAAUUCAGCGGGAGAGGAGCAGUGCUGCUGGAUAAUGACUUCCUAAUUUAUGAAGACUAACUAGCCACCUGACUGCAGUUCUUAAGUGCAAUAAAUGAUUUCGAGAGACAUGUUAGAUUGCACCAUGUUUUAAUAUGGCCUGACUGAGGAUUAUGAUUCGCGGGCCAUUGAACAUAUUUUGUUUAUCAAAUUAGACAAAUUCAGUUGCUAUUAAAAAAAGUGCUCGCGUACAAAUUACACAUGUCAGAAGUGAAACUUCUUUGCCAAACUAAUUUUUAAGUUUCGUUUAUAUUUAUACAAAUUUUUUGCACCAUCGACAAAAACGUUGCCGUUUCGUCCGUAAGAAAAAUACCCUCAUGCACCUAUAGAUGUUUCACUUCAAUAAAUUGUACCAAUUAUUAUUGUCACAUAAAACAAAGUCGAGUACAUUGAAU
rnacentral:misc_RNA from 1 species